CCUUUUAUAUUUCAAUGAAUUUGCAGUCAAUUGUGGGCUUCUCAGAAUUUCACUGAAUUAAUGCAUUUUAGUUCAUUUCACAUGAUGAAUUGUAAUCUUUCGCGGUUUCCACCAGAACUCUGUAAUGAUGGCCUAAGAUUCCUGAUUUUUAAUAGCUUUGCUUUAUUUAAUAAUUUUUCUUUUUAAAUGUUUUAAUUGAAUUCUUUUUUUACAGAUUUCAGCUUCCUUUUUGGUGGCAUGCAGCAAUUCAUAGAAGAAUUUGGAUUUUUUACUGGGAGCAUCCAUCGAUUGCUUCAGUGAUUUUUGAUUCUUUUUCACCUGGAGGCAUGCAUCAAUCAAUAUGGUUUAACGAUUGCGGGUCUUCCUUCGAGUAAUGGCGACCAGAAAGUUUAAAUGAAUUCUGCAUACUGCAGGUCCCAUCCCCACCUUUUAAUGGCUGAAUCAUGGAGAAGCAUUUAAGAGGCAUCUUCACAUAUGAAAAGGAUAUUUGGAGGCGUGCAUUGUGUUGGGGAAGCGUUUGAUACCGCAAGGACGCGCAGUCUAAGUGCGGCGCUCAGGCGGACUACACCUACACGUACGAAUCGCAUAAGACCGAGCUGAGAAAAAAGUCUGAUUUGGACGAAAUUUGAGAUGGUCUUUUAAUAUGCAAUAUGCAAUUCAUUUUUGAAAAUUCUGAUUGAAACUCUAAAGGCCUAGCCAAACCGACGCAGACAUGUGGGCACGGGACUGGGAGCGGAACGGACGUGCGAAUCGCCGCAUCGUUUACUUCAUUGACACGUAUACCUCCGUCCCGGAACUUUUGGAACACCCUGUAUACAUGAUUUGACCAGUAAAAGCAUUUGGCGACCAUUCCAUUUAUUGAGCAUAUCCGACGUUGACUCCGGCAAGUUCAACAGUGACAAGGUACAAUUUCUUUUAUUAUUUGUGGUUUAAUUAUAAUAAAUGUAAUCUUGUGAAAUUGUAGUCACAAUUAUUGGUCUUUAAAAGCAGAGGUAAUAAGUUUUAGAUUUUAAAGAGUUCCAUAUUCAGAAUUAGCAUUUUUUCCAAAUUUUGCUAACAAAUUAUUGACAAUAAUGAGAUAGUAGUGAAAGAGAAAUGAAUUUAAUUUAUUUACCUGAGCUAGCUGGAAGUAAAAGUACACAAAAAGGUAAGUCCCAAAAGUACUUCAGCAACCUAACAAGAUGAAGAAAUUACAAGAAGAAUUUGUAUCUACUACGAGCCACACCACGAACCUGAGAAGAUCGUCAACACUUUGCAAAGUAACCAUCCUUUACAAGUGUGGACCGUUAUAAAUUGUGUUUAACAAUAAAUAAAGAAAACAUGCUUAAUUAAUAAUAAUAAUUAUUAUUAUUAUUAGGGCAAAUAGGUUCAGAAAAUCAAAUUGUUUUAACGAAUUCACCUUGAACACGCCAUUUAUCUUACGUUAUUUAAAAUGGAGUUGGUGGAAGACACUGUGGAGCGUCAAAAACUUCUACAUCUAUUGCCUCUGGUGGAUUUGUUUAGAGUCAAUUGUCGAUUGUCACUGACUUUUGUGGAGAUGGAAACCAUUGAAUUAUAGCUACGUUGUUCAAGAUAUACCAUCUUCCAGUCGUUAGAAAUGGUUACCGCGUUUUAAUAUCUGAUCCCUACUUAAUUCAAAAUGGAGCUGGCGAAUAGCACUUUGAGCGGAUACAAGGAUUGUUGACACGGAGUGGUAGGUCAUUGCAUGAUUGCGAUGUUGUCAGAGACGUACCAUUUGCCAUUGGAAAAAGUUGCCACCUUUUCAUAUGCGAUUCCUGAUUCAAAAUGGAGACUACCACCACUUUGCAAUGAAUUACACGGGCGCGUCAAAUUCUUGGCCUCCAUUGGUUCUGAUGGAUUCAAUUCACUUCGAUUGUACUUCCAUGAUAUAAAUAAGCAAACAUUUUCUGGCGGUCUCAAGCAGUACCUACCUCCAUCGCUAGCGAUCUAAAACGACGACACUUUUCCGAUGCGAAGACCGAAGGAACUAGUCAACUCCGCAGUUGCCAACGUUUACUGGAUAAUCUUAUUGUUGUAGGGAUGAGUACUAUUCACCAUCACCACUUCGAAUUCGGCGCUGUCAUCAUCAUCAUUCCCGUCCAUCCGGCAUCCAGAUUUACUCUGACUAUGGUGUUUCACUAGUAACUUCAAUUUCCAUUUGUGCAUGUAUAAUGUUUAAAAGUGAUAACAAAAUAUAGGUACGUAGGUAUUAAGUUAUUUAUUUUUUAAGUUAUCACUUAAGUUAAGAAAAUCUUUGUAAUACAAAAAAAGAAACUUAUUUCCUUUGUUCAUCUCUAGAAUAAUAUUGUACUGCCCUGACUGCACUUUGCUGGCAGCUGGACAUUUUUUUAAUUAACAAGAUAAUCUAUAUUGAAACUUUAUUAGAAAUUCAAAA